AUGCCACAAACAAUCCAACCAAAAUGAAACCAUCCCAGGCCACUCUGAGCUCAGAAGCCAAAGCAGGAAACAGAGAACUCUACGAAUGUGGAGGCAUCACUCUGUCCUGGGCCCAGCAAACUCAGGAGGCAGCUGCAUCUACAUUUCAAUUAAGCAUUGAGAGAUGCAAGGAAACCCCUGAUCUCCAUAAGUGUCCCUGACAUUUCAAGGGCACAAAUUCUCUGGACACACGGAGGGAAUAAUGCUGACAUUUUAUAGAAGCUGACCCACUGGAUAUCCUUCUCACCCAACUCCAUUAGGCUAGGGAGAGUAAGAGGCAUGGUGACAAGGUGGCAAAGAUGUCACCAUGCCAUCCAAUCACGAGGUCUCCAG
rnacentral:antisense_RNA from 1 species